rnacentral:rRNA from 1 species
GAUGAACGCUGGCGGCGUGCCUAAUACAUGCCAGUCGAGCGAACGGACGAGAAGCUUGCUUUUCUGAUGUUAGCGGCGGACGGGUGAGUAACACGUGGAUAACCUACCUAUAAGACUGGGAUAACUUCGGGAAACCGGAGCUAAUACCGGAUAAUAUUUUGAACCGCAUGGUUCAAAAGUGAAAGACGGUCUUGCUGUCACUUAUAGAUGGAUCCGCGCUGCAUUAGCUAGUUGGUAAGGUAACGGCUUACCACGGCAACGAUGCAUAGCCGACCUGAGAGGGUGAUCGGCCACACUGGAACUGAGACACGGUCCAGACUCCUACGGGAGGCAGCAGUAGGGAAUCUUCCGCAAUGGGCGAAAGCCUGACGGAGCAACGCCGCGUGAGUGAUGAAGUUCUUCGGAUCGUAAAACUCUGUUAUUAGGGAAGAACAUAUGUGUAAGUAACUGUGCACAUCUUGACGGUACCUAAUCAGAAAGCCACGGCUAACUACGUG